rnacentral:rRNA from 1 species
ACCUAAUAGAUACCCCGGUAGUCCACGCCCUAAACGAUGCGAACUGGAUGUUGGGUACAUUACGGUACUCAGUGUCGAAAGUUAAACGCGUUAAAGUUCGCCGCCUGGGGAGUACGGUCGCAAGACUGAAACUCAAAGGAAUUGACGGGGGCCCGCACAAGCGGUGGAGUAUGUGGUUUAAUUCGAUGCAACGCGAAGAACCUUACCUGGCCUUGACAUCUGUCGAAUCCUGCAGAGAUGCGGGAGUGCCGCAAGGAACGACAAGACAGGUGCUGCAUGGCUGUCGUCAGCUCGUGUCGUGAGAUGUUGGGUUAACGUCCCGCAACGAGCGCAACCCUUGUCCCUAGUUGCCAGCACAUCAUGGUGGGAACUCUAGGGAGACUGCCGGUGACAAACCGGAGGAAGGUGGGG